AAUCGAACCCGGAGAUAGCUGGUUCUCCUCGAAAUAGCUUUAGGGCUAGCCUCAUGGAUCAUUGAUGGGGGUAGAGCACUGAAUGUGCGCGGGGGCCACAAAGCCUACCAAACGCUAUCAAACUUCGAAUACCAUACAAUGCAGACCAUGGGAGUCAGUCCGCGAGAGAUAAGUUCCGCGGGCAAAAGGGGAACACCCCAGAUCAACCGCUAAGGUCCCCAAGUUCACGUUAAGUGGAGAAGGAUGUGGAAUUGCACAGACAACCAGGAUGUUGGCUCAGAAGCAGCCACACAUUUAAAGAGUGCGUAAUAGCUCACUGGUCGAGUGAUUGUGCGCCGAAGAUGUCCGGGGCUAAACGUGACACCGAAGCGAUGGGUGCAUCUGAAAGGAUGCGCGGUAGAGGAGCAAUGUGCAGAGGCAGAAGCCGUAUCGAGAGGCACGGUGGACACUGCACAAGAGAGAAUGCCGGUAUGAGUAGCGAGAGGCAUGCGAGAAACAUGCCCGUCGAAAGCCCAAGGUUUCCUGGGGAAGGUUCAUCCGCCCAGGGUAAGUCGGGGCCUAAGCCGAGGACGGAAGUCGUAGGCGAUGGACAGCAGGUGUAGAUUCCUGCACUACCGAUGGAAUGAAGCAGUGACACAGAAGGAUAACUCGAGCAGGGUGAUGGUCAACCCUGUGCAAGCAUCAAGGUUGGGUUGUAGUGAAGUACGCAAUCCUACAAGCUGAGGUGUGAUGCGGACCGAAAUUUCAGUAGGGAAGCGAGUGAGUUCACGCUGGCGAGAAAAGCUGCUAGUACAUCCAAAGGUACCCGUACCGGAAACCGACGCAGGUGGGCGAGGAGAGAAUCCUGAGACGAACGGGAGAACCCUUGUUAAGGAACUCGGCAAAAUGACCCCGUAACUUCGGGAUAAGGGGUGCCUGCGAGAGCAGGCCGCAGAGAAUAGUCACAAGCGACUGUUUAGCAAAAACACAGGUAUCUGCGAAAGCGAGAGCUGACGUAUAGGUGCUGACACCUGCCCGGUGCUGGAAGGUUAAGGGAACAUGUUAGAGCAAUCGAAGCAUCGAACCGAAGCCCCAGUAAACGGCGGCCGUAACUAUAACGGUCCUAAGGUAGCGAAAUUCCUUGUCGGGUAAGUUCCGACCCGCACGAAUGGUGUAACGACUUGUGAGCUGUCUCAACAGGGGGCCCGGUGAAAUUGAAGUAUGGGUGAAGAUGCCCAUUACCCGCGACUGGACGGAGAGACCCCGUAGAGCUUUACUGCAGCCUGAUAUUGAGUUUCGGUAACUGAUGCACAGGAUAGGUGGGAGUCUGAGAGACAUGGGUUUCGGCUCGUGUGGAGACGCUGUUGGGAUACCACUCUUCGGUUACUGAAAUUCUAACAUAGCUCUGUGAAACCAGAGGAUGGACAGUGUCAGGUGGACAGUUUGACUGGGGCGGUCGCCUCCGAAAGAGUAACGGAGGCGCCCAAAGGUACCCUCAGAAUGGAUGGAAACCAUUCGAAGAGCGCAAAGGCAGAAGGGUGCCUGACUGCGAGAUUGACAAAUCGAGCAGAGACGAAAGUCGGGCUUAGUGAUCCGGCGGUAUUGAGUGGAAAAGCCGUCGCUUAACGGAUAAAAGCUACCUCGGGGAUAACAGGCUGAUCUCCCCCAAGAGUCCACAUCGACGGGGAGGUUUGGCACCUCGAUGUCGGCUCGUCGCAUCCUGGGGCUGGAGCAGGUCCCAAGGGUUUGGCUGUUCGCCAAUUAAAGCGGCACGCGAGCUGGGUUCAGAACGUCGUGAGACAGUUCGGUCCCUAUCCAUCGUGGGCGUAGGAGUCAUGAGAGGAGCUGUUCCUAGUACGAGAGGACCGGAAUGGACGCACCACUGGUGCAACUGUUGUCGUGCCAACGGCAUAGCAGGGAAGCGAAGUGCGGAUGGGAUAAACGCUGAAGGCAUCUAAGCGUGAAGCCCACCUCAAGAAUAAGACUCCACAAUAGACCCCUGGAGGACUACCAGGUAGAUAGGUCAUCGGUGGAAGCGCUGUAAGGCGUGU
rnacentral:rRNA from 1 species